UGGGAGUCAGACGUGCCAAGGAAGG
rnacentral:piRNA from 1 species